AUUGAACGCUGGCGGCAGGCCUAACACAUGCAAGUCGAGCGAGCGGCGGACGGGUGAGUAAUGCCUGGGAAUUGCCCAGUCGAGGGGGAUAACAGUUGGAAACGACUGCUAAUACCGCAUACGAUUGAAUUGCCCAGGUGGGAUUAGCUAGUUGGUGAGGUACUGGCUCACCAAGACGACGAUCCCUAGCUGGUCUGAGAGGAUGACCAGACACAUUGGGACUGAGACACUGUCCAGACUCCUACGGGAGGAAGCAGUGGGGAAUAUUGCACAAUGGGGGAAACCCUGAUGAAGCCAUGCGGCGGGUAUGAAGAAGGCCUUCGGGUUGUAAAGAUCUUUCAGCGAGGAGGCGUUACUCGCAGAAGAAGCACCGGCUAACUCCGUGCCAGCAGCCGCGGUAAUAC
rnacentral:rRNA from 1 species